GAUGAACGCUAGCGGCAGGCCUAAUACAUGCAAGUCGAACGGGAUCCAGAUCAAAGCUUGCUUUGGUCUGGUGAGAGUGGCGCACGGGUGCGUAACGCGUGAGCAACCUACCCUUGUCAGGGGGAUAGCCCGGCGAAAGUCGGAUUAAUACCGCAUGACAUCAUUGAGAGGCAUCUUUCGAUGAUCAAAGAUUUAUCGGACAAGGAUGGGCUCGCGUGACAUUAGCUAGUUGGUAUGGUAACGGCUUACCAAGGCUGCGAUGUCUAGGUGAUCUGAGAGGCGGAUCCACCAGACUGGUACUAAGACACAGACCAGAAUGCUACGGGAGGGAGCAGUAAGGAAUAUUAGUCAAUGGACGGAAGUCUAAACCAGCCAUGCCGGGUGCAGGAGGACGGCCCUAUGAGAUGUAAACUGCUGUUAUACGGGAACAGACGUCGGUACGUGUACCGGUCUGAGUGUACCGUAAGAAUAAGGAUCGGCUAACUCCGUG
rnacentral:rRNA from 1 species